UGGGAUCGCUGAAUUAGAGAUCGGCGUCCUCUCAUUCUUAAAUACUUUGGAGUUUUAAAAUGUCUCUAAGUACUGAAGCUACAGCUAAAAUCGUUUCUGAGUUCGGUCGUGACGCA
rfam:Salmonella enterica subsp. enterica serovar Typhimurium str. LT2, complete genome.